GUGCUCACUUUGGCAGCACAUAUACUAAAAUUGAAAUGAUACAGAGAAUAUUAGCAUGCCCCCAUGCAAGGAUGACAUGUAAAUUUGUGAAAAUAGAAUCUUUGUA